CCCCUCUCAGGGUCGUACCUGGAGAGUUUCCAGCACUCUACCAGUCCCGACUCUGGGAGGAAGAGUCAAGCAGAGGAAUAUCCAUUCCAUUCCUAGUUUGGACCGUGGCUAGAGAGUGGAAGGCAAUCUGCUACAGGU